rnacentral:rRNA from 1 species
ACAAGCGGCGGAGCAUGCGGAUUAAUUCGAUGCAACGCGAAGAACCUUACCAAGGCUUGACAUACACGAGAAGCCCUAGAAAUAGGGAACUCUUUGGACACUCGUGAACAGGUGGUGCAUGGUUGUCGUCAGCUCGUGUCGUGAGAUGUUGGGUUAAGUCCCGCAACGAGCGCAACCCUCGUUCUAUGUUGCCAGCACGUAAUGGUGGGAACUCAUGGGAUACUGCCGGGGUCAACUCGGAGGAAGUGGGGAUGACGUCAAAUCAUCAUGCCCCUUAUGUCUUGGGCUUCACGCAUGCUACAAUGGCCGGUACAAAGGGCUGCAAUACCGUAAGGUGGAGCGAAUCCCAAAAAGCCGGUCCCAGUUCGGAUUGAGGUCUGCAACUCGACCUCAUGAAGUCGGAGUCGCUAGUAAUCGCAGAUCAGCAACGCUGCGGUGAAUACGUUCCCGGGUCUU